CUGGGAGACUCUUAGCUGUACACUUUGAAUGAUUCCCUGCUCACCUGCUGCACUCUGUCAACUAGCAAGGAAAAUUUUAGGGCAGAAGCCUAGGAUGCAGCCAGGUUCAGAAACCUCUCACUGGGCCUUGCGGUGAAUCCAUGCUCACACAUGGGCUGCCUGCCAAACAUUAACUAAAAUACUCACGCUUGUUUUCGACAACGGUCCUCAGGUUAAAUUUCACCAAGUGCUAUUUUGGGUGAGACGCUAUGGUAGAAAUGUCUCCAGAUUCCGGGUGGCUGUAAUGCCUCUGCAAAGCCACCUUUCAGCAUGUCCCAUUUGCUGUGCUUUCAAGUACUCAACUGUGUUGGUGCCUUUACAAGAUUCAGCCCCAAAGGAAUUUGGAGGACCUCUCAGUCAUUUAGAAUAUUGUUCCAAAUUAGAAACUGUUAAAUACUUUUUUUGAAUUUUAUAAAGAAGUUUGGAGAAAAACAACCCACACUUACAUGAAAGAGCAAAAACCCGGUGGAGCUCAACAGAUAAUUUUUUUUUUAAAGCAAAAGGGGAGUCAACUGAAGCGAUGUCUAUAACUAGCCUGAAAUAGAUAAUUCCUUCAGCACUGCAUAUAAUUUAUGAAAGUUUUAAAUAAGUCCAAGUUGGUACAUUUAAACGUGGAUACUAGAAACACAGGAUUCAGAUGAUACUGGCAUAAAAGACAGCAAGAAUUAUCUUCUACAAGCAUUGACAAGAAAGAGAAAGAAAUGUUCGCAAAUAUCACUGAGGAUUUUUUUUAAUGGAGAAGAAAAUGGCAUUAAUAAAGCAGAGACACUGAUGAAGAAGAGACA
rnacentral:lncRNA from 13 species